UUGUCAUUUAUGGAAACAUAGGCAAAGACUUCUUAAAGGGACAUGUUGGGUUUACCAGCGGGAAGUUUGAGGCAAUAACAGGUCUGUGAUGCCCUUAGAUGUUCUGGGCCGCACGCGCGCUACACUUACGAAUUCAACGAGUUUUUAUUUCUUUGAAACUAAAUUCCUUUAUCGGAAGAUAUGGGUAAUCUUUUAAUGUUCGUCGUAAUGGGGCUAGAUUUUUGCAAUUAUUAAUCUCCAACGAGGAAAC
rnacentral:rRNA from 1 species